rnacentral:rRNA from 1 species
GACGAACGCUGGCGGCGUGCUUAACACAUGCAAGUCGAACGCAGUGGCGAACGGUUGCGUACUGCGUGGGUAACCUUCCCUCAUUUUUGGAUUAGGCCUUGGAAACGGGGGCUAAUACGGACUAAAGUUGGAGGGGCCCGCGGCCUAUCAGGUUGUUGGGGGGGUGCUGGCUUACCAAGGAGGUGCCGCGUAGCCGGACUGAGAGGGUGACCGGGCAAAGUGCGCCUGCGAUACGGCCCAGACGCCGACGGGAUGAAGCAGUGCGGGAUAAUGCACAAUGGGUGAAAGCCUGAUGCAGGGAAGCAGCGUGGGGGAUGAAGGCUUUAGGGUUGGAAAUAUCUUUCGAUAACGAACGGGUAGGUGGAGAAGAAGCGCCGGCUAACUACGUGCCAGCAGCCGCGGUAAUUC